GCAGGCUUUAGGGGGAAGAAGCUUCUUCCACUCACACACACUCACACACAACCUGAGUGGGGUAAACACCGAAGGAAGAAGCUGCAGGUCCAACAACCCAGAGGAGAUCUGGAUAUCGAAGCGCUCACAGGACUCAAUCUGGAAAUUCACUUGUGACUUCCUUCAGCGAGGACGAGUCUUGGCAGUGAGCUCCAGAAGACAGAGUAUCCGAGGCUGACCUUCCUGAUGUGACUGAAUGGACCCUGGACUGACGACAUGACGGCAGAGGAGCCCUCCGUCCCGUCGCUGACCCCUCUGACCUCUGUGACCGAGGUCAAGUUGAUAUUCAGGGGAAGAGCUCAAAAAUCGCAACCAGGAAACAGCAAACCAGCACGAAGAUAAACCCCCCGAGGAAGGGUCGACGAUCUCUGAAAGGUACCAAAAGGGAAAAAAACAGAAUGUA